CAUAUUAUCAUUUUAAACUAACUACCGCAUGUUUAACUUUGUCAUUCCAAGUAAUUUAACAAAGUCGUCGUGUUUUUUCUUGCUUAAACAUUUUGUUAGUAGAUCUGCAACAUUGCCGUUUGUCGAUACGUAUUCUAGUAUAAUUUCAUUACAUUCUACUUUUUCGCGAACAAAAUGAUACUUAAUAUCAAUGUGCUUCGUGCGUUUGUGAUGUACCGGAUUUUGAGCAAUAUGUUGCGAACUGAUGUUGUCGCCAUAGAUGGUUAAAGGCUCUGUAACAGUUGACCAACCAAUCUCGUCGAGAAGUCAUCGUAAAUAAAUAGCCUCUUUAGCAGCCAUAGAUAGUGCUAUGUAUUCAGCUUCAGUGCUGCUCAACGCGACAACACUUUGCUUAGUUGAAGUCCAAGAAAAAGCACUGCUGCUAGGAAGAAUGCGUAUCCACUAUAAGAUCUUCUAUCGAGCCUGUCAUUGGCCCAGUCAGCAUCAGCGAAACCUCUUACUGGUUCACCACACUUGCGCCGUCUCGUGUUCUGCAUGGGGAUCAGUAUUUCGUUGCGACAGUUUGCUUACUGCGUGCAAAAUGUCCGGUCGGCUCAAGACUGCUAAAUACAUAAGGGAACCAAUUAAUGACUGAUAUUGUGUUACAUUUACCUUGACACAAUUAUCAUCAAUGCAGCCAACUUGAUAGCCCGGGUCGAGCGGUGUGCUGACUGGACGGCACUUGCUCAUGCCAUACGUGUCCAAUAGUCCUUGAAUAUGCGAUUUCUGGCAAAACGAAAUCGAACCCUGUUCACCGUCUCGCUCAAUUUCCAUUCUUAGGAAAAAGUUUAUGGGGCCGCCAUCGUGCAUCUUGAAGUUUGAUGCGAUCUUCUUCUUAAUUACGGCUAUGUCAUUUUUGUUUGGACAUGCGAUAAUUAAAUCGUCGACGUAGACUGCAA